rnacentral:rRNA from 1 species
UACGUAGGGUGCAAGCGUUGUCCGGAAUUAUUGGGCGUAAAGAGCUCGUAGGCGGUUUUGUCGCGUCUGCUGUGAAAACUGGAGGCUCAACCUCCAGCCUGCAGUGGGUACGGGCAAACUAGAGUGCGGUAGGGGGAGAUUGGAAUUCCUGGUGUAGCGGUGGAAUGCGCAGAUAUCAGGAGGAACACCGAUGGCGAAGGCAGAUCUCUGGGCCGUAACUGACGCUGAGGAGCGAAAGCGUGGGGAGCGAACAGG